rnacentral:rRNA from 1 species
UACGAAGGGGGCUAGCGUUGUUCGGAAUGACUGGGCGUAAAGGGUGUGUAGGCGGUUAUACACGUCAGAUGUGAAAUCCCUGGGCUCAACCUGGGAAUGGCAUUUGAUACGGUAGAGCUAGAGAUUGGUAGAGGGUAGAGGAAUUGCGAGUGUAGAGGUGAAAUUCGUAGAGAUUCGCAGGAACACCGGUGGCGAAGGCGGCUACCUGGGCCAAUACUGACGCUGAGGCACGAGAGCGUGGGGAGCAAACAGG